GACAGAGGAUGCAAGCGUUAUCCGGAAUGAUUGGGCGUAAGCGUCUGUAGGUGGCUUUUAAGUCCGCCGUCAAAUCUCAGGGCUCAACCCUGGACAGGCGGUGGAAACUACCAAGCUGGAGUACGGUAGGGGCAGAGGGAAUUUCCAGUGAAGUGGUGAAAUGCGUAGAUAUUGGAAAGACCACCAAUGGCGAAGGCACUCUACUGGGCCAUUACUGACACUGAGAGACGAAAGCUAGGGGAGCAAAUGGG
rnacentral:rRNA from 1 species